rnacentral:lncRNA from 1 species
CUUUUUGUUUCUCUCAUAGAAGUGCCCACCCCAGGUGAAUUUACAUCCUGUUCUUCCUGAGCCAGAUUUUUACCAUGGACUCCUUGACCCACUCAGUUUCUAAAAAGGGACUCCAAACUGCUUGCCCACUGCACAUCGCCCCCCCUUUCAGCUGGAAUUAGCAAGAACGGUCAUCGCCCUUUUCCCUUAUGGCAGUUGGAGGUCCCUAAUAUUAGAGGAAAAAUUACGGUCAAUAUA